rnacentral:rRNA from 1 species
UAGAGUUUGAUCCUGGCUCAGAAUCAACGCUGGCGGCAUGCCUAACACAUGCAAGUCGAACGAGAAAGUCCUUCGGGACGAGUACAGUGGCGCACGGGUGAGUAACGCGUGGGUUAUCUACCUCCGGGUGGGGAAUAACUCGGGGAAACUCGAGCUAAUACCGCAUAAUACGUUCUACGUUAAAGCAGCAAUGCGCCUGGAGAUGAGCCUGCGUCCGAUUAGCUAGUUGGUGGGGUAAUGGCCCACCAAGGCGACGAUCGGUAGCCGGCCUGAGAGGGCGGUCGGCCACACUGGCACUGAAACACGGGCCAGACUCCUACGGGAGGCAGCAGUGAGGAAUCUUGGGCAAUGGGCGAAAGCCUGACCCAGCAAUGCCGCGUGAACGAUGAAGUCCUUCGGGAUGUAAAGUUCAUAAGCAGGAGAAGAACACCAUGACGGUAUCCUGUGUAAGCCCCGGCCAACUACGUGCCAGCAGCCGCGGUAAUACGUAGGGGGCAAGCGUUGUUCGGAUUUACUGGGCGUAAAGGGCGCGUAGGCGGCGCGUAAAGUCGGACAUGAAAUCAUUAGGCUCAACCUAAUGGCUGUGUCCGAUACUUACGUGCUUGGAGUGCGGGAGAGGCAGCCGGAAUUCUCGGUGUAGCGGUGAAAUGCGUAGAUAUCGAGAGGAACACCGGUGACGAAGUGGGUUGCUGGACCG